rnacentral:ncRNA from 1 species
GAGAACUGCAUAACUGAAAUCUCAAAUGAGGGAGUAACGCCCCGAAGGGGAUUCGCUAAUACUUCGAAUAGCGUUGGAUUAAUACAGAAAUUCAAGGUUAUAAGCUCGGAGAAGUCGCGCGAAGCGCAUCCUAACGGAUAAAUAUCGACAUGAACUCAAAUACCCAUUGGUACAAAAGUGACCAGA